rnacentral:lncRNA from 10 species
CGGAGCGACCGUCACUAGGGGCAGCGUCCCUCCGGUGCCGGGAGCGCGCCAAGCUGGUGUUCCUGAAUGCUUGGUCCAAUUGUGUGUGUCUCCGAGGCCGUUGUGUGUGCAGGACCUCACUCCAGUGACCCACACUCCACUUGGCGGUGUCCACAUCAGCAGGACGUUCACCAGCCUGAAGAGAAGUGGGCACUGUCCCCAGAGGGGGACACCAUGAAGACCUGGGUUUUCCCUCUCUCACUCACUUACAGAAGCUUCCAAGCCACUAUGAAUGGAAACGACUCUCCCUGGCUCUCAGCUGUGUGCUGAGACACUUACAUACCAUUAUUGAGUCUUCACAAUACCUCGUAAAGGGUCCUGCCAUCUUCCUACAUUAGUUUGCUCCCAUAGCCAAGCACCAGACUGAACAGCUUCAACUACAGAAAUGACCUCCUCACUGUUGUGGAAGCUACAAGCCCAACAUCAAGAUGUCCGCAAGGCUGGUUCCUCCUGAGAUCUCCCUCCUUGACCCAGCUCUUCUCUGUUACUCCCACCACCGAGAUCCUGGUGCAGACUCUGUGACCUUAGGCUUCUUACUGGUCUUGGCUCCCUCCACACCAGUACACCCACCAAAGCCGUUCUUUCUGGCUCCCAGGCUUGUUUGCAGCCAUUAUUUCCUGGAUGCCUUAUGCUGUGUUAAUGGAUUGAUUCAGAGAAUAUGAAGAAGGAUGGCCUCUCUGAAGUAUCAUUUAGCUGAAAUAAAUGUUGUCGGCAAACAAUUUGAUUGAGAUGUUAUGCUCUCCAUGAGCUAUGCACACACGUGGAUUUGGGCUCUCAUAAGAGAUUUUUCAUCCUCACCUUUCCCCGCUCCUGACAAGGGCAGCCUUAGGUGAACUGUGCUCCUCACUCAUGGCAACCAUCCCAUCCUGCAGCCAAGAGAGACACUGCAGCUUGUCUUGAAACCAUCAAGAACUGUCUCCCAGGCAGCCAGGCUUCCUUUGUUUUUAUAGACAGCCUGUUCAGAAGGAGACAGAAAGCUUUGAGCCCAUUCACUUUCUGCAGCUGAAUGUUCCAGAAAGUUCUACAUGGGACAAACUGUGGUCGGCAGUCUUUUCUAGCCUCUGUGGCUCCUCCUUCUUAUCCAUUGGUUUGGAAGCUCUCGGAGCCCCACCUGGAUGGAUGAACAAGGCAUUGCUCUCUCUCCUGCUGACUCCAGCUAGUUCCUGGGGAAGAAAGUAGAGACAAGUGCAAAGAGAGCCCAGAUCAGCCCAAGCCCCUGUCUGAGUGCCCCUGUCAUAUCAGGCCUGGGUCCCCAGACCAUGGUCUCCUAACCAACUGUCCCAUGCUCCAUGCAAAGCCACCGUUAGAGGUGAAAAGGGCGAGAAGCUGCACAUUCACUGAAGUGAAGUCAUCAGAGCACCCACAGAUCCAACUUCUCAGCCGGACAGGAAAACAUGGAGUCCAUCUACUUCCCAGCUUACCAGCAAAUUCCAUGCUGGUACCAGCCCCGGCCAGGUGACCAGGCCAAGAGACUGAAGAGAGGGCUCCCCUGGCCCCUGCAGGAACCAAGGCUCCCUGAAGCUCAGCCAGCCUGCAAUGACCCACGUCACAGAAGGCUGCCCACCUGACAGCCAUGUGCAGAUUGACCACGGAAUGCAUCUCCAUGCACAGUUGGAACAGCUUUCUCAUCAACUCUGUAAUCACAGCUCUGCACCAAGAGCAAGGCAAGUCCAUCUCAAUUUCAUCUCCUUUCACUCAUAAAUGAAAACAAAUGGAGACUGAAUAAGACAAAGGACAUGUGAGCACUUCAAAUGGUGCCUAGCAAGGUAAAGGACUUAUGGUUGAAAGAGGAGGAGGUCAGGAAGAGGAGGAAGGCAGAGAGGGAGGGCAAGAAGAGGAUGGACAGAGCCAAAGAGGCAAGAGGGGUGCAAAGGCAGAGAGGAGGAGAGAGGUGAGAGGAGAAAGAGAGACACUGCACUCUACCACUGGGUCACAUAUGACACACUUGGGAGCGACAUUUCUUGGUGGAGCACGUGAGGCAGCCUGCUGAUGCUGGCUUUGGUCCUCUUUGCUCUAGUCUGCAUCUAUCAGUGGCUUCCAACCAGUCUGAAUUAAAACGUAUCUCCAAGAAGCCGCUUGGAUGAGCGGAUUUUCUUUUGAUUAUUUAUUCUGGACCCACACCCAGUGGAAAAAAUGCCUUCUACGGCAUUCACCUCGGCUCCAGGGCCUGUUUUAUUGGGAGAGCAAUUGAAAAUGAUAGCAGCAUUACAUGCAAAUUCUACUUGGCAGCUCUCUGACUCCAAGGCAGCGGGGCUCCAUAUUCCAUAUGUCCGGCCACGUGCAGGGAGCAGCUGCCCAGGUGCAGGCCUGGGCUCCCGGGGUCUGAAUCCACACGGCGAAGAAGCUACUGGGUUUCUUCGUUGUUUUCCAGUCAUGAGGUGGAUUAUCCAAAAAGCUCCUGGACCGACUUCCAGCAACACCGAUCUGAGAAGAUUAGUUCCAAAUUCCUCAGCACAAGGUGAAACAUUUGAAUGUUCUCAGCAGAAACUAGUUUUACAUGACUUAAAAGAACACAGGCCAUGGUGACCCAGGGGCUCCGUGUCGUGAGCAAUGAAAAAUAUUUAUUCCAAAGCUCCAUUUCUCAUUUAAAAAAAAAAAUGCUUUUAAGCCUAAGGAGACAUACAUUUCCCUGACAGUGUGGAACAGAAAAAGGCAGCAGUACCCAGCCUUAGCUCUCAGAUCCUAUCCGCAAGGUAAAUAAAGCAUAAAUUAACCAAUUACAAUAAAAUACCAGAUAAAUGCCUUUGACAACUCUGAAUUUCCCAUGAAAAUGCUUCCAGCUGUGACCCCUGGCUUGCAAUGCACGGGCUGAAGGAGGCUGGAGUUUGUAUAUAAAGGAUGUUUCAAACACACAGUCCCAGACAAGGAAUCCUAUACUAUGGGCCAGCAGGAGCUGGGUCUCCAUCUUCAUGUCCCAUGGGGCCUCUGCCUCUCUCCGACAGAAUUGGAUAGAAGCAACCGUUUUAAAAGUCACUGGCAAGGAGAGAUAAGCCUGGAUAGUUCCAGCGCUUCCUAUUACUACACAUUAAUCAGAAAUCUGCUUUUCAUACAUUGGAAAUAGAAUCCUAAGGAUGAGGCCAAGAGAUUCCCAAGGGUAGCAACCUGGAUCUGGUGACAGUAAUGGUUCCCUGGACAGAGGACAAGAGGUGGAGAAGGAGCCCGAAGGGUGGGUGGGCCCGUAUUUCUUUCUUGUAAAUAAAGUUUUAUUGGCGCACAGCCAUGCUCAUGUGUUUACAUACUGCCUAUGGAUGCUGUCUGGAAGGGCAGAGUUUUGUUCUGACAGAGACCAUAUGGCCUGCAACACUGAAGAUGUCCACAACUUAUAACAUGGGGAGCCAAGAGACUGCCUGUCACGGCUGGAAUUGGAAAGGGACGUGGCAAGGCACAGUUGGAAGUUGCAGAGGAGGUUAAAGUAGCAAUACGGCCAGGCUGGCCCAGGCACGGCGGGGUGAUGAACAAUGGUGUGACAGCUCAAUCCUUACACCAUCUGACACCACUGUGCUAGCUACCUGUUCUGCAUAAAGAACCACCAUAGGCCAGGGCAGUGGUGCACGCCUGGAAUCUCAGCACUUUGGGAGGCUGAGGCAGGAGGAUCGUUUGAGGCCAGGAGACCAGCCUGGGAAACAUAGUGAGAUCCCAUCUCUAAAAAAAAAAAAUAAAAUUUAGCCAGAUGUGGUGACGCACACCUAUGAUCCCAGCCACUCGGGAGGCUGAGGCAGGAGAAUUACUUGAGCCUGGGAAUUCAAAGCUGCAGUGAGCUAUGAUUACGCCACUGUACUCCAGCCUUAGCAACAGAGCAAGACCCUGUCUCAACAACAACAACAAAAAUCAUCAGAAGACUAGGUAUAGUAUGGCUGGGUUCUGUGCUUAGGGCCUCACAAGGCAGAAAUUGAAGCUGCUCUGUGGUCUGAAGCAUGGAGUCCUCUUCCAUGGUCACAUGGCUGAGUCAGAAUUCGGUUCCUUGGGGCUGUAGGACCUCAGUCCUUGUUUCCUUGGUGGUUGUCAGCUGGGGGCCACCCUCAGUCCCCAGAGGCCACCCACAGCUCCUUGCCAUGUGGCCCCUCUAUCUUCAAGCCAGCAACAGGGCACCUCUCACACUUCAGAUCCCCCUUGUGCUUUGAAUCUUUGACCUUCUCCAUGGCUGCCCUCCAGCCGCAGGUGUAAAGCACUCCUGUGAUUAGGUCAGGCCCACUCAGGCCCACUCCCUAUCUUAAAGUCCAGUGAUCUGGGCUGUUAUCAGCUGCACCCAGAACCGUGUUUGAGAAGUGCACGGGAGCGGGGAGGUAGCUGUGCACCAGGGGCCAGACUCUGGGCCAUUUUAUAAUUCCGUCUACUACUCCAUCCUUCAUCGCAGCAGGUCAACAGACAAUAUCUGAGGCUGAUAAACUCCAAAUAACCACAGCAGCUGUCAUUCAGAGGCAUGGGGGCAACCUCCAGAGCCAAAGCCUAAAACUGCUCAAAGGAGGUUUUACCUUCAGGGAGCAGGCAGGAGCUGGAGGCGAGAGGUAGCGCGAGGAGCUGUGCCUUCACUAGACCACUAUUCUAGGCAGUUUGGUUUUUUUUUUUUUUUUAACUAUGCGCAUAUUUUACUAUGAUAAUGAUUGUUUAAAGAGUGCAAAGAAAAGAAAUCAGCCCUAUUGGACUUCUUGCCCUGGAGGUUCUUUUCUUGGGUUUCUCAUUGGUUAAAUCCCCUCUGCCUCCCUUAUUUUCUCUACUCCAAGAGUGCUUUUUCCUCCUCCAGACCCAUGCUCCAGCUCCCGCACCUCCCUCAGGCUCAGGUUCCCUGAUACCUUGCUCCCUCAGACAGGCCUUGUUCAUCCACCAUCCACAAGCUCUCUGUGUCCGUCUAGGCUGCCCCAGAAGCAGACACCGAGAUGAGAGAGUGAGUGCAGGUGUUUAUUGGGGAGGUGACCCCAGGAAGCACCAGCCAGGUUGCAGGGAGGGGAAGGAAGUCACUAAGGGUGUGUGUGCAGGCAAAUACCACUGAGGGGGCAACUGGAGCUCGGCCCCACCUAAUUCACACCCCGGAGUUAGCCCAACCACGGCUGAGGACACAGAUGUAUUUAUCGUUGUUGGUGGAGGCUGCGGCUGGGGCAUCAGCUCUCUGGCCUGCCACGUGCACACAAUGGGCGGCUGCAAAGGGAGCUCUCUGCCUUCCACACAUGGACAUGGGUGCCGAAGAGAACACAGGCAGCAGUGUACCUGCAGCCCCCAUCACCCUGUUCCCCCAGUCCAGCGUCACCUGGAACAGCCGUGGCACUAGGGUUUGUGGACCCCGGUAGUUAUUUCCUGUGGCUGCUGUCACAAAUGACCACAAACUGCAAAUUUAAAACAACAGAGCCUAGAAGUCCAAAUCCAGGUGUGAGCAGGGCAGGGCUGCCUCUGAAGGCUCGAGGGGAGGAUCUCUCCCCAUCCCUGCCAGCACAUCACUUCGGUGUCUGCCUCGGUUGUCACAUGGCCUUCUUUUCUGUGUGUCCAAAUUUCCUUCUUUUUAUAAAGACAAAGUCAUUGGAUCAGGGCCCCCACCAAACCCAUACAACCCCAUCUUAACUCAAUCACAUCUGCAAAGAGCCUAUUUCCAAGUAAGGUCACAUUUGCAGGUACCAGGGGUUAGGGCUCGACUGUAACUUGCAGGAGCACGCAAUUCAACCCACAAGCAUUGACUCGGGCCAGGCUCUAUCCUAAGUGCUUUAUACGCAUUCACUCAUUGAGGUCUCACACAGCACCCCAUGAGUAGGUACUAGUAUGGUCCCUGAUUUACAACUGAAGCCCAGAGAGGUGAAGUAAUUAGCCCAGGGUCACACAGCUAAUCAGUGGCAGAGCCCAAAACCCAAACCCCACCAGUCACACCCACCCCAGCUCUAACUACUGUGCACACUGCCUCUCCAGCUUCUCCUACCAGCUUCUCCUUCUCAGCCCUCAGUCCCUUUGUCUCCGUGCCUUCAACUUCCUUCCCCUUCUCAUCCAAACUCUUCAUUCGGUCAGUUCACAUACACAUUUGAAGGUCUUCCAGGUACCAGGUCCUGGGCGAAGUGCUAGGAAACUGCGCAAAAACAGGCCGGGCACGGUGGCUCACACCUAUAAUCCCAGCACUUUAGGAGGCCGAGGUGCGUGGAUCACCUGAGGUUGGGAAUUCGAGAACAUCUUAGCCAACACGGUGAAACUCCGUCUCUACUAAAAAU